GACAUCAGUGUGUCUGGGUGUAGGCUAAGUAAUGAAAAUAAGGUAUGCUUUUUGCUCUCCUGUCCUUUCUUUGCAAAGUGAAGAGGGAAGGACAGAGAAGAGGGAAUGUGAUUGUCUCUUCUGUUCAGGCAUGGAUUUGCUGAGCAUGGAGGAGGAAAGGAGUUCCAGAAUCUGGUCUCAAAUACUGGAUUACGGAUUCUUUGUUUAUGUACCAGGAGAGGGAGAGAAAUGAGAGGAAAAACCCUUCUUCAGGACAAUGAAUUAGGAGGCAAGCUGAUGCAAAGACCAUGGCAUUCCAAGAAGGUGAUUUACUUCAUCCCAAAACAGUCUCCUGAUACUGAUGAAGAAAAAUCACUCUCCCGCUUGGUUUGAUUCCGGAUAGGAUGAGGGAGCACCAGCACAUCAAGAUCCUCCAGAGGACAGUUCACAACUCUGACAGGCUUAAUCACAUUUUAGGCAUUUUUUCCCUCUUUUUCUGUCUUCAUGAACGAAAGAAGAGUCCCCAAACAUUUAUGCUGUUAGCAUAGGUGCUUCAGGCUUUUACUAUACAUUCUGAAAAUUUCUGUUUUGCACCUUCAAAUUAUGGUU